rnacentral:rRNA from 1 species
UAGUCCACGCCGUAAACGAUGAUGACUAGCUGUCUGGGCGCUUAGCGUUCAGGUGGCGCAGCUAACGCGUUAAGUCAUCCGCCUGGGGAGUACGGCCGCAAGGUUAAAACUCAAAGAAAUUGACGGGGGCCUGCACAAGCGGUGGAGCAUGUGGUUUAAUUCGAAGCAACGCGCAGAACCUUACCAGCGUUUGACAUGCCAGGACGGUUUCCAGAGAUGGAUUCCUUCCCUUACGGGACCUGGACAC